rnacentral:rRNA from 1 species
ACUCAAAUGAAUUGACGGGGACCCGCACAAGCGGUGGAGCAUGUGGUUUAAUUCGAAGCAACGCGAAGAACCUUACCAAAACUUGACAUCCCAUUGACCGGUCCUUAAUCGGGCCUUUCAGUGCUUGCACUGACAGUGGAGACAGGUGGUGCAUGGUUGUCGUCAGCUCGUGUCGUGAGAUGUUGGGUUAAGUCCCGCAACGAGCGCAACCCUUAUCUUUAGUAGCCAUCAUUAAGUUGGGCACUCUAGAGAGACUGCCAGGGAUAACCUGGAGGAAGGUGGGGAUGACGUCAAAUCAUCAUGCCCCUUAUGUUUUGGGCUACACACGUGCUACAAUGGCUGCUACAAAGGGAAGCAACCCAGUGAUGGUGAGCAAAUCUCAAAAAAGCAGUCCCAGUUCGGAUUGUAGUCUGCAACUCGACUACAUGAAGUUGGAAUCGCUAGUAAUCGCGAAUCAGAAUGUCGCGGUGAAUACGUUCCCGGGUCUUGUACACACCGCCCGU